rnacentral:rRNA from 1 species
UACGAAGGGGGCUAGCGUUGUUCGGAUUUACUGGGCGUAAAGCGCACGUAGGCGGGUCGUUAAGUCAGGGGUGAAAUCCCAGGGCUCAACCCUGGAAUUGCCUUUGAUACUGGACGUCUCGAGUUCGGGAGAGGUGAGUGGAAUUCCGAGUGUAGAGGUGAAAUUCGUAGAUAUUCGGAGGAACACCAGAAGCGAAGGCGGCUCACUGGCCCGAUACUGACGCUGAGGCGCGAAAGCGUGGGGAGCAAACAGG